rnacentral:sRNA from 1 species
AUAUUCUGCCCACGGGGAAGGAUGAGAAGCUUCGACCAAGGUUCGACUAGAGCGAAGCGAGAGAACGUUGCCGCAGGCAAUGGCCCGAAGGGCGAAGCGCUUUAGCGCCGAGUAAUCCUUCCCCCACCACUG